rnacentral:rRNA from 1 species
UACGGGGGGGGGCGAGCGUUGUUCGGAAUUACUGGGCGUAAAGGGUUUGUAGGUGGCCUGCUAAGUCAGACGUGAAAUCCCUCAGCUUAACUGGGGAACUGCGUCUGAUACUGGCGGGCUUGAGGACAGGAGAGGAACGCGGAAUUCCAGGUGUAGCGGUGAAAUGCGUAGAUAUCGGGAGGAACAUCAGUGGCGAAGGCGACCGCCUGGCCCAACACUGACGCUGAGGUGCGAAAGCGUGGGUAGCAAACAGG